rnacentral:rRNA from 1 species
UACGGGGGGGGCAAGCGUUGUUCGGAAUUACUGGGCGUAAAGGGCUCGUAGGCGGCCAACUAAGUCAUACGUGAAAUCCCUCAGCUUAACUGGGGAACUGCGUGUGAUACUGGAUGGCUUGGAUUUGGGAGAGGGAUGCGGAAUUCCAGGUGUAGCGGUGAAAUGCGUAGAUAUCUGGAGGAACACCGGUGGCGAAGGCGGCAUCCUGGACCAAUACUGACGCUGAGGAGCGAAAGCCAGGGGAGCAAACGGG